rnacentral:rRNA from 1 species
GACGAACGCUGGCGGCGUGCCUAAUACAUGCAAGUUGAGCGCUGAAGGUUGGUACUUGUACCAACUGGAUGAGCAGCGAACGGGUGAGUAACGCGUGGGGAAUCUGCCUUUGAGCGGGGGACAACAUUUGGAAACGAAUGCUAAUACCGCAUAAAAACUUUAAACACAAGUUUUAAGUUUGAAAGAUGCAAUUGCAUCACUCAAAGAUGAUCCCGCGUUGUAUUAGCUAGUUGGUGAGGUAAAGGCUCACCAAGGCGAUGAUACAUAGCCGACCUGAGAGGGUGAUCGGCCAAAUUGGGACUGGGACACGGCCCAAACUCCUACGGGAGGCAGCAGUAGGGAAUCUUCGGCAAUGGACGAAAGUCUGACCGAGCAACGCCGCGUGGGUGAAGAAGGGUUUCGGAUCGUAAAACUCUGUUGGUAGAGAAGAACGUUGGUGAGAGUGGAAAGCUCAUCAAGUGACGGUAACUACCCAGAAAGGGACGGCUAACUACGUG